GGUUAAGCGACUAAGCGUACACGGUGGAUGCCCUGGCAGUCAGAGGCGAUGAAGGACGUGCUAAUCUGCGAUAAGCGUCGGUAAGGUGAUAUGAACCGUUAUAACCGGCGAUUUCCGAAUGGGGAAACCCAGUGUGAUUCGUCACACUAUCAUUAACUGAAUCCAUAGGUUAAUGAGGCGAACCGGGGGAACUGAAACAUCUAAGUACCCCGAGGAAAAGAAAUCAACCGAGAUUCCCCCAGUAGCGGCGAGCGAACGGGGAGCAGCCCAGAGCCUGAAUCAGUGUGUGUGUUAGUGGAAGCGUCUGGAAAGGCGCGCGAUACAGGGUGACAGCCCCGUACACAAAAAUGCACAUGCUGUGAGCUCGAUGAGUAGGGCGGGACACGUGGUAUCCUGUCUGAAUAUGGGGGGACCAUCCUCCAAGGCUAAAUACUCCUGACUGACCGAUAGUGAACCAGUACCGUGAGGGAAAGGCGAAAAGAACCCCGGCGAGGGGAGUGAAAAAGAACCUGAAACCGUGUACGUACAAGCAGUGGGAGCACGCUUAGGCGUGUGACUGCGUACCUUUUGUAUAAUGGGUCAGCGACUUAUAUUCUGUAGCAAGGUUAACCGAAUAGGGGAGCCGAAGGGAAACCGAGUCUUAACUGGGCGUUAAGUUGCAGGGUAUAGACCCGAAACCCGGUGAUCUAGCCAUGGGCAGGUUGAAGGUUGGGUAACACUAACUGGAGGACCGAACCGACUAAUGUUGAAAAAUUAGCGGAUGACUUGUGGCUGGGGGUGAAAGGCCAAUCAAACCGGGAGAUAGCUGGUUCUCCCCGAAAGCUAUUUAGGUAGCGCCUCGUGAAUUCAUCUCCGGGGGUAGAGCACUGUUUCGGCAAGGGGGUCAUCCCGACUUACCAACCCGAUGCAAACUGCGAAUACCGGAGAAUGUUAUCACGGGAGACACACGGCGGGUGCUAACGUCCGUCGUGAAGAGGGAAACAACCCAGACCGCCAGCUAAGGUCCCAAAGUCAUGGUUAAGUGGGAAACGAUGUGGGAAGGCCCAGACAGCCAGGAUGUUGGCUUAGAAGCAGCCAUCAUUUAAAGAAAGCGUAAUAGCUCACUGGUCGAGUCGGCCUGCGCGGAAGAUGUAACGGGGCUAAACCAUGCACCGAAGCUGCGGCAGCGACGCUUAUGCGUUGUUGGGUAGGGGAGCGUUCUGUAAGCCUGUGAAGGUGUACUGUGAGGUAUGCUGGAGGUAUCAGAAGUGCGAAUGCUGACAUAAGUAACGAUAAAGCGGGUGAAAAGCCCGCUCGCCGGAAGACCAAGGGUUCCUGUCCAACGUUAAUCGGGGCAGGGUGAGUCGACCCCUAAGGCGAGGCCGAAAGGCGUAGUCGAUGGGAAACAGGUUAAUAUUCCUGUACUUGGUGUUACUGCGAAGGGGGGACGGAGAAGGCUAUGUUGGCCGGGCGACGGUUGUCCCGGUUUAAGCGUGUAGGCUGGUUUUCCAGGCAAAUCCGGAAAAUCAAGGCUGAGGCGUGAUGACGAGGCACUACGGUGCUGAAGCAACAAAUGCCCUGCUUCCAGGAAAAGCCUCUAAGCAUCAGGUAACAUCAAAUCGUACCCCAAACCGACACAGGUGGUCAGGUAGAGAAUACCAAGGCGCUUGAGAGAACUCGGGUGAAGGAACUAGGCAAAAUGGUGCCGUAACUUCGGGAGAAGGCACGCUGAUAUGUAGGUGAAGUCCCUCGCGGAUGGAGCUGAAAUCAGUCGAAGAUACCAGCUGGCUGCAACUGUUUAUUAAAAACACAGCACUGUGCAAACACGAAAGUGGACGUAUACGGUGUGACGCCUGCCCGGUGCCGGAAGGUUAAUUGAUGGGGUCAGCGCAAGCGAAGCUCUUGAUCGAAGCCCCGGUAAACGGCGGCCGUAACUAUAACGGUCCUAAGGUAGCGAAAUUCCUUGUCGGGUAAGUUCCGACCUGCACGAAUGGCGUAAUGAUGGCCAGGCUGUCUCCACCCGAGACUCAGUGAAAUUGAACUCGCUGUGAAGAUGCAGUGUACCCGCGGCAAGACGGAAAGACCCCGUGAACCUUUACUAUAGCUUGACACUGAACAUUGAGCCUUGAUGUGUAGGAUAGGUGGGAGGCUUUGAAGUGUGGACGCCAGUCUGCAUGGAGCCGACCUUGAAAUACCACCCUUUAAUGUUUGAUGUUCUAACGUUGACCCGUGAUCCGGGUUGCGGACAGUGUCUGGUGGGUAGUUUGACUGGGGCGGUCUCCUCCUAAAGAGUAACGGAGGAGCACGAAGGUUGGCUAAUCCUGGUCGGACAUCAGGAGGUUAGUGCAAUGGCAUAAGCCAGCUUGACUGCGAGCGUGACGGCGCGAGCAGGUGCGAAAGCAGGUCAUAGUGAUCCGGUGGUUCUGAAUGGAAGGGCCAUCGCUCAACGGAUAAAAGGUACUCCGGGGAUAACAGGCUGAUACCGCCCAAGAGUUCAUAUCGACGGCGGUGUUUGGCACCUCGAUGUCGGCUCAUCACAUCCUGGGGCUGAAGUAGGUCCCAAGGGUAUGGCUGUUCGCCAUUUAAAGUGGUACGCGAGCUGGGUUUAGAACGUCGUGAGACAGUUCGGUCCCUAUCUGCCGUGGGCGCUGGAGAACUGAGGGGGGCUGCUCCUAGUACGAGAGGACCGGAGUGGACGCAUCACUGGUGUUCGGGUUGUCAUGCCAAUGGCACUGCCCGGUAGCUAAAUGCGGAAGAGAUAAGUGCUGAAAGCAUCUAAGCACGAAACUUGCCCCGAGAUGAGUUCUCCCUGACUCCUUGAGAGUCCUGAAGGAACGUUGAAGACGACGACGUUGAUAGGCCGGGUGUGUAAGCGCAGCGAUGCGUUGAGCUAACCGGUACUAAUGAACCGUGAGGCUUAACCUU
rnacentral:rRNA from 1 species